UCCGCCGUCGCCAUGAGAAUAAUAGAGCCAAUAACUAGCUCCGAGUAUGUGCGUCUCAUAGUAAAUUAGCAGCCAACAUGGAUGUAUAUAUGAUGCAGCUGACGGAACCAGCGAGUUGCUCGCUUCUCGAUGACUUGAUGCCGGCGUUGCUUCAGGUUAGACGUGCAGGAACAGGAGGUUUGCUUAUAAGCAUGCGGCUCUGGCCUGCAAAGAUCUUGGCAGGAACUGGUGUUGAUGCGUGGCGUCGAACAAAUAACAGGAGCCACCAUUGAAAUCGCCCCUUUCCAGAGCAGCAAGGCAUCGACGUAUACAAGCGCAUGCGGAGCGCAUCUUGAUUUUUAUAUGACUUGGCUUCAUCAUCAGCAACUUGACAACGACCUCGCGCGGCGAGGGUUCCGAUGUCAUCAAGUUGUUGGCUUUCUCACAAUAAUUGAUCAAAAGAACAAACGACUCUCCACAUAAUAUAAUAUUCAUAUGAAUCUAUUAGCAACCCAGAUUAAUUGCUCACCUAGAAACGUAGUAACUGACAUGGAUGACAUGGUUGAACGUUGAAUGUCACAGCAGGGACCGGUGACUUGCUGGUGCAGGCUUGCUUGUCGGCGACUCGCUGCUCUUGCAAGCGAUGGCUUCGACUUGUGGAGGAUGUGCUGCAGCUUUUAGCCUCAACAGAUGCGUUUACCCAGGUUUGCAAAGUGGCCAGCAGCGUGUAUGCGUAUGCGUCGAGCAGCUUGGCAGAGGUCCGGCGGCGGCGGCGNNNNNNNNNNNNNNNNNNNNNNNNNNNNNNNNNNNNNNNNNNNNNNNNNNNNNNNNNNNNNNNNNNNNNNNNNNNNNNNNNNNNNNNNNNNNNNNNNNNNNNNNNNNNNNNNNNNNNNNNNNNNNNNNNNNNNNNNNNNNNNNNNNNNNNNNNNNNNNNNNNNNNNNNNNNNNNUAUUUGUAUAUAUAUAUAACUAUAUAUAUAUUUAUAUAUAUAUAUAUAGCUCUAGAUCUAGAGCUAUAUAUAUAUAUAUAUAUAUAUAUAUAUAUAUAUAUAUAUAUAUAUAUAUAUAUAUAUAUAUAUAUAUAUAUAUAUAUAUAUAUAUAUAUAUAUAUAUAUAUAUAUAUAUAUAUAUAUAUAUAUAUAUAUAUAUAUAUAUAUAUAUACUCGUGAUGCAUGUAUGCACGCAAAGAGCUCUGAUAAACUUUUAGCAUGUCAUGGGACCUAACAAAAUUCAGCUCCAUGGGUUGAUCCAAAGAUCAUUGAACGUACGAACUUAAUUAGCACCCUAUAAUUUCUAAUAAAUGAUAGCAUAUGCUUAUUCAUUAUAUAGCUCCAAAUAUUAGAGCCGUACAUAAAAAAUAUUGCACGGCUCACUCCCUGCUGGCAGCCCGUGUUACUUGGCACCGGGAAUAUUAUAUUCCAAAAAAUUAUCAUACAAAUGCCACCCGCCGAGUUGAGUCUACGCGCGAAGCAACGGAGAUUCGACUCGGGGAAAUAUAAUUUCGAUAUAUAUACCUGACUCCAUGAUCAUAGCCUAGCUUCAUUUUUGUCUCUGACGGCUUACGGUCUCAAAGGUAUCUUGACACCACAAGUCGACAAAUAUUUAGAAAAUAUGGCGAAAAAUCACGCCACAUUUGAGGAUAUAGCGAAGAUCAUACCAUAUCCUGCAUAAGUAUUCUGAUCCCAUUGCAACUGAAAAUGCUGGUGAUAGUCAAUGAAGUAUCGAAAACUUGGUGAAAUUUAUCAAGGUGGAUGCAACCGUUUAGCUAUAACGGUGCUAGCCAUCCCUCCUGAAGGGUUUCGCAAUUCCACAAUCGUCGCACUGACUUGCUUCACUGCUCCCAAAUAAAUAGCAUAUACAUCCAAAGCUCCAUAGGUGUACUGCCAAAACAUAAUUUAGCCAAAUAGCGUAUAGGCCAAUUUGUGGGUGAAGGGCCAUCUUGGCACAUAAGCCAUGAUGGGCGUCAAUAUAGACAUGCCUUGAGUUCUUCUUGUAUUCCAAAGAAUGAGAACAAUAUUUUUUUUAAAUAAAAUGUCGGCUUUCCCAUGAGUCACCAAGCUAUGAAGCAUCUUCCGGCGACGUCAUCCAAGGGUGUAUUUUGACAUAAAAGGUCAACGACACAACUUUCAAUUGAGGUUUAGUUUCCUCGUGAUAUACGUGUUGAGAGAUUAGCACUUCAUUAGGACCUCUUUAGGUCAGAGAAAUUAUCUCCGAGCCUCCCUUCAGUCAUGUGCCUCACACCUUCUACCUUUGUCUAGUAGGGAAUACAGGAUACGGCUAUAUUUUUUAGAAUUGGUUUGGGGGAAACUGGUUAUGGUAUUUCUUUUUUUUUCCUUUACUUUUGCAGAGGACGAUGAAUAGCUACCCUCCUCCUUCGUUCACUUGACACCUUGAUUUUUUUUUUAUUAUUGAGAGCUUCGAGACACUUGACUAUGUCUCCUUUUUCUUUCUCCCCUUUUAUUUUGCUUCUUGGAUUUUGUCUUCAAUGAAUUCAGAGGGUAGCUCCUCAACUUUGUGUAACUAAUAAUCCUCGCAGGCUUCUGAUUUUUUUGGCCCUUGUUAUCACCUCUUAGGGUGGCAUGUGGCUUCACACUUGAUUCAGACUUUUGUCGAGUCAGGUAGCCCUUUCAUGCUCUUUUCCCUAUAGUCUCCCUAGAGGCUUGGUACUCCCUUUUAACUGGACGUAGGUGAAGGGUGUGGUGAACCCACGACUCUCAGAGUCAGCGCGGAUCAAAAAUUCAUCUGCCCACUUUUAUCCCUUAUUGGUGCCAACCAUGUGCUUGUGUUGAGGUUACUUUACCUCAAAUUAAGUUGAUCGGGCAUUCCCUGCCCAGGGACACACCUGAAUGACAGCCAUCAGAGGACUGAGCUUGACGACAUAUAUGGGAGAAAGCCUUUUGUUGUUGGACAUGAUGUCCAUUCAUUUUAAAACACAUUUUCUAUAACGAGAGAAAACAUGUUUAUAUAUAUACUUUUAAAAAAGAGGGAGGAUCGCCCGAUCAUUAGUCACGCGAAAUAUUUUUUUAAAUAUCUGCCAUUGAUAGGCGGCAUAGGACGGAGUCCCUGGUCAUCUAUUAGUUGAUAUGCACCACCAUCAUAAACCUGCUCAAUGACAAAUGGCCCUUCCCACUUUGGCUCGAAUUUCCCUUUCGUCCUGUGUGUAACGACAAUAGGGCAUCGAAGAACGAGAACAAGUUCACCUUUGCGGAAAACUCGCUGCUUCACCAAUUUAUCAUAGGCCCUCACCAUGUUCUGGCGAUAUAGCUCUAAAUUUUGGAGUGCGUUGAGACGACCCUCCUCCAAAGCAUCCAGCUCCUGAAAGCGAAGCCGAAUCUGCUCAUCAUUUGUAAGUUCAUCUUGGACAGCCACCCGUAAUGAUGGGAGCUGCACUUCAAGUGGUAAGACUGCCUCACUUCCAUAAACGAGGGAGUACGGCGUUGCUUGUGUUGGAGUACGAGUAGUAACUCGGUAUGCCCAUAAGGCUUCAAAGAGACGAUCAUGCCAAUCUCUUUUAUACUUUGUCACAGUCUUUUUAAGUAUUUUCCCAAGGGUCUUAUUGAACGCCUCAGCAAGCCCAUUAGCUUGAGGAUAAUAUCCCGUGGAAUAAUUCCAUGUAAUAUUAUACUUCGCAAUGAAUCUUUGCAUCUUAGUGGAUGUGAAUGCCUUAGCAUUGUCGGAUGUAAUACUUCGUGGAACCCCAAAACGAUAUAUGAUAUGUCGUUCUAGGAAGUUGAUGACGUUGUCCGUCUUUACUUCUCGUAAAGGUAUGGCCUCAGCCCACUUGGAAAAGUAGUCAGUUGCAGCAAGAAUGUAGUGAUGCCCCUUGGAUGAGGGAGGCUCAAUGGAGCCAAUAACGUCAAUCCCCCACGCGUUGAAUGGCCAUGAGGGAACGGUAGGGUGAAGCGGGACCGGUGGUUGAUGCUUGAAGUCACCAUGAAUUUGACUGUUAUGACAAGCCUUUGUAGUUCUAAGGCAAUCGGCCAUGAUUUUUGGCCAGUAGUACCCAGCCAACCUGAUCCUAUGAUACAUCUUGGCACCACCUUGAUGGCCACCGCAUACUCCUUGGUGCAUCUCCUGUAAUAUUUGAUCAGCUUCUUUUCUUGAGACACACCGUAGGAGUAUUUCUUGACCAAAUGAUCAUCGGUACAAGAUCCCGGCCUUAUAGAUAUAUGAUGGUAGGCGUUGUUGUAGGCGGCGCCUUUCCACCGAAUCAUCUGGCCAAGUGCCAUGAUUAAAAUAAUCAAUGAAUGGCUUACGCCAAUCAUCCUGCUCAACAAUCAUCGUCGUCACUUGAUUGACUUCAUAUUCUUCAGGAACAAGUUCAAGGACAGCGGGGAGUAGCCAUCUCUCUUCUAUUUUUAUUUCAGCGGGCUCGCUACCUGGGAGCACUAGCGCUGCUGCAAGUUUAGCCAAUGCGUCAGCUGAGGCAUUUUUGCCUCGUGGAAUAUGUGAAACUUGAACAUUCUGAAAUUUCUCCAUGAGCUUACGCGCCGCCACAUAGUAUGGCACCAGCUCAGGUUGCGUACCUCAUAAAUAUUAUUGAUUUGGCGAACGACGAGCUGAGAGUCACCGUAUGCUUGCAAAUUCCGAAUAUCCAUAGAAAGUGCAAGUAAAAGGCCAAAGAUCAAGGCCUCAUAUUCAGCUUCAUUAUUUGAGCACUCUUCCUUAAGGAGGGAGAAUGAGUGGUAGAUGGUCUCGCCUUGCGGCGUCUUGAAUACGAGUCCGGCCCCAGCUCUUUUGCUAAGCGUGCCGUCAGGAUUUGUUUCGGUACGGGAUGCACCAUCAAAAUAUAAUUCCCACGGUGAUUCAAUACCGAUGGAAAAUACCUCUUCAUCAGGUAAAUCAAUCACUAGUGGCGAAUCGUCCGGCACAGGGUGGGCUGCAAGAAAAUCAGCCAAAGCUUGCCCUUUAACUGCUUUUUGUGGGACAUAAGUAAUGUCAAAUUCCAUCAUAAAUACAGCCCAUUUACCAAGACGUCCCAUCAGGGCUGGUUGGCUUAGCACGUACCUUAUGGGGUCUGCUCUUGCUAUGAGCUGAAUUUGGUGCGCCAACAUGUAGUGUCGCAACUUCUUUAGUGCGAAGACGAGGGCCAAGCACAACUUCUCAAUAGGUGAGUAGUUAUGUUCGGCACCUACCAUGGCACGGCUCAAAUAGUAACAUGCUACCUCCUUUCCUUCAUCAUUAUGUUGUGCGAGCAGCGCGCCCACCGAAGAGGGCUGCGUAGCAAUAUAAAUAAUUAGUGGGCGUCCUCUCACAGGCGCCGCUAGGACAGGAGGGUUAAGCAAAUACCUCUUAAGGCUGUCGAGCGCAUUUUGACACUGCUCAGCCCAAUGGAAUGGCACACCUUUUCUCAUUAGUCUCGAGAACGGCUGAGUGCGUCCUGAGAGAUUAGAUAUGAAGCGUCGAAUAUAUGCUAGGUGACCCUGUAAUGAUUUAAGUUCACUCAAAUUUUGGGGAGACGGCAAAUCAAAAAUAGCUUUAAUUUUCUUUGGCUCAAUUUCAAUGCCUUGAUGACGAACAAUAAAGCCCAAGAACACACCUGAUUGUACCGCAAAGACGCAUUUAAGCGGGUUCAUCUUUAGUUGAUACUUCUGUAGCCUAUUAAAUACAAUACGUAGAUCAUCCUGAUGCUUUUGGCGAUCCUUUGUUUUCACGAUCAGAUCAUCAAUGUAACAUUCAACCGUCUCAUGGAUGAGGCCAUCAAGGACCACAGUCAUAGCGCGUUGAUAAGUCGCGCCCGCAUUUUUGAAGCCAAAUGUCAUGACAGUGUAGUAGAAAUUCCCUUUGGGCGUUCGAAAAGCUGUAUCAAAUGCAUCUUGUGGAUCCAUCUUAAUUUGGUUGUAACCUGAAAAGCCAUCCAUGAAGGACAAGGCGCCAUAGCCGGUGGUAGCAUCUACUACCAUCUCUGUGAUGGGAAUUGGAAAAUCAUCCUUAGGACAAGCACGGUUUAGAUCGCGAUUAUCGACGCAAAUCCGAAGCUGACCAUUCUUUUUCUUAACAGGAACAAUGUUUGAUAGCCAACGAGGAUAUUGCGCCUCCUUUAUAAAGCCCGCAGCAAUUAAUUUAUCAACUUCAGCAACUAUGUCAUUUUGUAGCUUAGGACAAACUCGACGAGGUUGCUGCUUGACUGGCCGAAACCGAGGAUCGAUGGCCAGCUUAUGAGUGGCGACGUGAGGGUCAAGCCCACACAUCUCCUUAUAGCUCCAUGCAAAAUAGUCACGGAACUCUGUUAAGAAAAUUUGAUAACUUUCGUGUUCUUCCAUUAUGAGUGUCGCGCUCACAAAAGUGGGACGUGGGUCAUCCUCAGUUCCGAGGUUGAUCUCGACUAGCUCAUCAAUAGUCAAUUGGACACCGUCUUCGAGUUGUUGAGGAGCAGAAGCAGCAUCAAGAACUUCAUCUUGUUCCACGUUCAUGUUUUUAUGGAUUCGAUUCAGAAGGUAUUGUUCAUCUCUCAACCCUUGAUAAGCAUUAGAGGCAGCUUGCAAGGAUCGUGACCGGUGAAGUAUAGGACACGGGUACAAUCCUCGUUGUCAGAAGUUGCACCCUCCCUAUCAUUUGUAUUUGCAACGACGGACGUCAUAUGAUACAUCGCUCGCCAUGGAUCAUUAUUAUUACCACCCUCGCUUUCAGAUGAGUCUGAAUGAAAAUAACCCAAACCAUAUUUUGGUUGAGUCUGGUUUGUCUUCUUUUCAGCCAUCUUAGAAAUCUUCUCUAUUUCGUCUCACCACUCUUCACAUAUGGCGGGUGGUGGUGGUAACCUAUAAUUUUGCCGAAGAUGAAUCCCAGACCUCUCGAGUAAGCGAACCAUCCUUGGUUCAGCUCUGGUAGUAGUGGUGGGUUCUCCUGUCUCUAAACAGACUUUUGGAAAUUUAAUUACAAAAUCACAAGGCAACGCUUGUGGUGCUUUGUAGAAGAGCAUCGGAGAUUUACAGCCUGCUUUUCUAGGAACUAGCCACACAUCUAACGGUGUCGUCACCGACGUAUACAUUGAAGGAGGUUGUUUCAUCCCAGCCUUCCUUUGAUCCUCACUUUCUGCCACCCUUUUACGCACCAUCCCUUCUUGAGGAACUGCAGUUCCUGCCUUUGUAAUAUCAGUACGUAGCAUCAGGGGAGGUGGCAUGUUGCCUUUUGACGUGAGAAGCUUAGGAACUCCUCGAGCGCCUGUAGAAUUAAGAUGAGUCAAGUCAUUGGAUUUUAAUGACUUUAUCAUUGAAGAGUCUUUUGCUUCAGCCCCCAAAGUCAAUUGGGGUCCAGGCACAGACCUUAAGAGUAUAGGCGUAGCUGGCGCACCUGAGCUUGGUGUCGACGGAGUAUUUUUAAUAUUAAAGGGCGGCGUAACCAUGAGAGAUUUUCCGUGCCUUUUAACUUGUUCUUUCUUUUGAAUUCUUUUUCCAGAAUAUGGGGUGCUGAAGGCAUCCACUUCAGAAGAUGUAUUCGAGCCAGGUGUAAUAAUUAUGUCAGCAACUGGUGCAACACGUCCUUGAUGCUUACUCAGCUCUCCGCCUGAGAAAUAAUAUUUUGCGUCGGCAUGAUGCGACUCAUGAACGGUAUAUGGGGACUCAUUAGCAGCGAUGCGAUGCUGUAUUCCUUGAUUAUCUAGGAAUUUUAAGCAUUGGUGGAGUGUCGAGGGGACUACUUGGUAUUUGUGUAUCCAUGGUCUACCCAAGAGCGCCGAGUAUGACGUAUUUGCUUCAAUUACAAAGAAUCGCACUUUGAAGCUAAAAGUGGACAUUUGAAUCUUCACAGUGAUGGAACCUAGGGCUGAAGUGCCCUAAUUAUUAAACCCGCAUAUCACCACCUCAGUCGGUUCAAGGUCAUCUAUUGUAAAUCCAGCACGAGUGAGGCUUCGAAUCGGCAAAAUAUUCACCGCGGAACCAGGAUCAAUGAGCACACGACGCAAAUGAGCGGUGCCAAUAUUUCCUUCGAUGUAAAGUGGACGAUUGUGAUUAUCAUCAUCUACCAACUUAUCUUCCUCUGAAAAGGUGAUUUCGUUGACUUCACUUGCAUUGCAAAGAAGUCGAUGUUUAGCCAUAGUAACUUCGUAAACUUCUGGAGCUUCAAGCGCUUUGAUGAGGGCCUGGCGUAGCUCUGGAAUUAGUAGCAAUGCGUCAUAGACGCUCAACAAUGCUGGGAUGCGCUUUAGAUGUGCGACAACAUUGUAAUCAAUUUUGUGAGACUCUCCCCCACAAUUGGGUGGAAUAUCUUGUGCGUUUUCUUGAGCAGCUGUAUCCUUUGUACGGGGAGCGUCUUCCUUGGCACCCUUUUUUGGCUUAGGCCUUUGGAGCUCUGGCAAGGCCUUUCCGCUUCGCAAAUUCAUGUUGACUUCUACUUCAGAACACUCUGGUGAUACUUCAUCCAUAAGCAUUUGGCGCUCACGAGGUGUAAGCCCAUCAUCCGCUUCAGAACUAGUCGUAUCAUUAUAUUUAAGGACCACACUACAUGUAGCCGUAUUAGGCCGACGAUGUAAUAUAGUAUACUCCUUUUUACCUUGUGGCUCGCCAUUUGGAGCUUCAGCUUGUUGCUCCCAAUUAUGAGGCAUGAAAUGUCCAAGCGUAGGCAACAUUCGGCUUCGUCGAGGAAAUGAUUCAUUUCCUUGCGCCUUAGGUACAAAUCUAGGCGGCAUACGAUGACGACUUGGAUCGUGCCACCUGUAUGAGGAUACAUCCAUAGAAUGCGAAAUUCUACGUCCUGAAUCACAUUGAUGUAUGCGUCUUGGCGUCAACUUGUGACGAGUAACAGUCUGCCAAUCAUUGGGAUCCCGCUCAUCUAUUUUUUGAGAGAGUUCCAAACUUUUUAAUCGGUGCUCAACCAGAGCGAGUGGUACCCAACUAUCAUCAUUUGCCUCAGCGGCAUUCGUCCUUGUGGUUAUUAUAUUUAUUGCAUGAAAGAAUGGAUUGACGGCAUCUGGCGGGAUUGCCAACCUCUUUUCAUCGAUGGCUCUUUGUAGCCACUCAUUGAAGGCGACACAAUCUUCAAUAACAUGCCCGACAUACCGAUGGUAUGGGCAAUACAAAGGAUUGUCGACCAUCUUAACUUGAUCUGGUCGCUUAGGAUCAGGCAGGGUGAGGUAUUCGUGCUCCAUGACUUGUUGGAAGAAAACCUUCACCACCUCUCGAUGAAAUAUAUAUUGCUUCCGAAGGAGCUCUUGAAUAGAUGGUCGUGUCUUGGCGCCAGUAUUAUUUCGCAUGCCCAAUACAGGCACAUUCCUUUGAUGCUGUGAGGCUUCAACCCUUGCAGUGUUAGCUUCGGCUGGAGCCUUCUGUUUGCCGCCAUUAUUAUUAUUAUUAUUGCCCUUGAAGGUCGAGUUAAACCUCCUGACAUUAUCGGGAGUGCUAGCAUUCUUGUAGAGUUCCAUAAUCUGAGGUGACUUUUCGAACUCCAAUUUUGUCGCAGCCACCGCUGAGCUAAGAGCACUGAAUGUUUUGGGCUCACGCCGUGAAACUUCCAGUGACCAGUGUUGUUGCAUGCCGUAGACACACAUUUCAAUUGCAUCCUCCGGAUCCAUCUCACGUGCGAGGCGUACAUAGCUAUUACGAAAACGGACUAUGUAGUCAUCAAUUUUUUCGUCACGCCUCUGGCGAACUUGUGCUAACUCGAUUAUUGAAAAAUCCUUCUUCAUUGAUACAAAGUGUGCCUUGAAUAGCUCUUUCAUGGUUUUCCAGUCAGGUAUGGUGCCAACUGGCAAGCGACUAUACCAAUGAAAGGCUGCGCCCGUUAAUGAGCUAGAAAAUUGUCGUAACAAGAGAGAAGGGAUACGAGCAGUAUCGCCACACAUUGCUUCAAAGUAUGACAAAUGUUCUCGUGCGUCUCCCGUUCCGUCAAAUUGUCGAAACUUCGGUGGAUUCCAGCCAGUUGGGAAUUGCACCAAGUCAUGCCAAGCCUCGUAAGGCUUAUCAAGCUCAUAAUCGGACGAUUGCGGUCACUGAUCAACAUUCACUUGUCUCAUCUUUUUAUUUAUUAGGUCCUCUAUGAUAGUAUGAAAAUUCUUCAAUGUGUUCGGGGGAGGCGCAGCAUUAGCUGUUGCACCCAGUGAGGUGAACUGUAAUUGCGGCGGAGGCUUGGGUACCUCAUUAGUCUUGGGCACAUGACCCGCAUCUUCCAGCUCUUCUAUUUGUGGGUCAGCUGCGGCCUUCUGUGGAGUUCGAGGUACACCUUGCCCAGAACCUAUUAGGAUCUCAACAAGUUGAUCGAGUUUUAAGGACAAAUUAUUUAUUUGUUGUUGCUGGUUACGCAGCUUCUUGUCAAUCGACCCGUCAUGAGCUCCGUGUGCACUUGUUCCCGGCCAAAGGUGCGGGGGCAUUCCAUAUUGUGGAUUUUCAGGAAGGGUUUGGCCCUUGUUCUUGGGGUCUGGCUGUUUAGCCUGACUUGUAUCGUCCUUCCCAUUGGGAUCAACUAGAUCAUCUUGCUUUUGAUUUUCGUCCGAGACCAUAUGAACCGGGACAGUGUUUUGACCUUCGUUUUCACUCUCCUCGUCUGAUACUACAGAAUGAGCAAGUUCAGAAUAGCGAGGGGAAUUAGUGUGUUGUUCUAGAGAAAUGCUGGAAUCACCAUCCAACUCUCCAUCUUUGAAGGCUCCAUCAAUUGGACUCAUAGUGCCUUCAAUUUCUUGCAUAGCGAUUCCUUUCAAUCGGGUUGAAGCACCCGGGCGCCAUGCUAUCCGCUCUAAGGAGGCAGGAUUUUGAGGGAGUUGUGAUUGUAGGUCAUUAUAAGCACGUGGAGAUAAUCCACCCUCAGACUUAGAGCCACCAGAAGUAAUCGGGCAGCAUGGAGCCGAUGACACACCCUCUUGUUCUUGAUUACCAGGUCCCUUGGACCGGCAGUGUAAUUUCGGAAGCGAACCAUUAGAAAAGGUUGCUUUGGGGUUAGGUACGAUCUCUUCAUCCGAAGGAUAUGAGAAAUCAUGAGUAACUUGUGGAGGUACCCAUAUCAGAUCAUCUUCAUGUUCAGCAUGUGUGGACGUAGUGCCACAUGAGGCCAUCUGAAUGGGAGAGGUAGAACCAUGCUCCCUAUCUUCAACUUGCAUUCUUUUAGACUGCUCCCCUGAUCGGUGAGCAGUCAACACCGCUUGCUCAGUCUCCUUUAUCAGAGACGAUGGGUGCAUAUUCUCUUGUUGAAUAUCUUUAUGGGAGUCUUCCAUAGUGACAUCAUUUUGCGAUUUCUCCAAAGACCCUUUAGUGGAGGGUUGGAGCGAAGGGUUCUCUUCUUUGGCCACACUUAGCCUUUCAUCCCCUUGUACUAGACGUGGUCUUGGCACGAGGUUAUCCACGAGAUAUUUGUAUCUCUCGUUUUGGAGUAGAGUAGGCGAAAGGCGAAGUGUAAUCUUGUCGUAGAAGGGGUGAACUUGCCCUUCGGGGCGGACCCGAACAUGCACGCUGCCAAGUACUAGAUCUUGUAGCUCUUGGUACAUGGCGUGUCGAUUCCUCCUACGGUUUUCGCGUUUGCGUUGAUUAGCAGUAGGAGGCCGUGGAGCUUUAGGUGGAAUUGCCGGAGUCGGCAAGAGUGACGAGUUUGCUUGAGGGCCUGAUGAAGACGCCACCUGAGUAGGUGCAACCUUCAAACGCGGAUUAUCCUACGGAUCUUGCCUUGGUCGUGUGGGUGGUGCGCUUGCAACAUGUUCAUGUUGUUGUUCUUUCACGUGAUAUUGGUUUCUUCCAAAAUCUCUUGGUUGCCAUUCUUGGCGUGCCCACGAAUUCCAGCGAGGAGGCAAUGGAGCUUGUCUUGAAUGAUGAAACGGGCGUGGAGGGGGAUCCCUCCGUGGUGCUAGUGUUUUCCGCUCAUCUUGGGGACGAUGGCUAGCGACAUAAUACCUGCCACCAGCUUGUUGAGAAGACUCCGGCGCGUGACCAUAACGACCAGGGCCUUGGUACUUAGACCUGCCACCAGUUCGCGUGAAUGGCCUCGAUUCUUGAGAGUUACGAACAGGAGAGACAGGCCUCCGAUUACCCCCUGCAUAUGCAGUUGGCUGGCGACCCUGGAGCUGCCUCUCCAGCUCCUUCAUUUGAGCUUGCAGCUGCUAAAAUUGCUGCUGGAGCUGAUCGGUUGGUGGUGCAUUUGUAUGAGGCGCCGGUACUUCGUUUGCUAGUGCAGCAAAUUUAUCUUUUUCAUGGCUGGCAUCAGCCGUGGCAUGGUAUGAUGCAACCAUCAUAGGCGGGCGUAGAAGAAUACUUUUAGUGCGAGCUGAAUUUCACGCUCGGGAAAUUUGGCUACACGUUUUAAUGUACGUGUCCAAAAUUCAUUCAUAAUAGCUUGCCUAACAAGCUUCUUUAAUUCAGUUGGCCUAUUGGCCUUUACAGAUAGCACAUAAGGCUCUCUCACAACGUCGAGGAACUCAGGGACUUGUUGCACUUGCUUAGGCGUCGUGAUCCUUACAACGCGUGCACUCAAUUCGGCAUGAAGCUUCUUGACGUGGCUCCGCUUCCUUCGAUAGUUGCGGAGAGCAUUCUUCUUGUUCCUAGAGCGCGCAUUGCACAUUGACCAGGACAAGGAAUAAGAGGCGUCAUUAAAUGCCUCGAGGACUUUGGCCUCUGAGAUUGGACAACUCGGCUCCCGUGCAUUCGAGAGCGCUUCGGGCUUCCCUAGCAGUUCACGAGCGUCGGCAACGGCAGUUUGUCUUGCCUUCUUGGCUUUAGCAGCCGCAUGCUCGCGUGCUUUCUUCGAUUCUCCAGCUUGAACUGGUGCAAAAUCUUGUGUGAGAUGGUAGUACUUCUUCUCUCCGUGGGUGAAGACUGCCAUGGGCGCGUGAGUGCCGAAAUGAAUCAGACACGGAGCAGGAGAGAACUUCAUCGCUUCUUCGAUGGUGAUGGCAGGGAAGGACUCACCUGCGAGAGGGAAUCCUUCAAUUAGUACACCGUGUAAUAAAACUUGUAUGGAGGAAUAUAUGUUUUCUAAAGCUUCACAUGUAUAUAUAAACACGGCGUGCUUCUCCUCUAGUUUUUUUUUCUUAAAACGGCUUUGGCUGUUUGGACCAGCAAGCCACGCUCAAUUUCUUCCCUCUUUUUUUAAAAAAACCAGGCAUAGAGAGUGAACCAAGCACACAAACUAGGCACUGAAUGCCCUUUCGUGUAUACAAAUAUAUGAGUCUGCAUAAGCAUGCAAGACGUUCUUUUAAUGAUGCGACAAGAUUGUUGUUCUUCCUUCGUGUAUAAGCCGGGAGGCAUAUCUUUGGAGUAAGCAUCGUUCAAUCAUAUACAGCGACCACGAACGAGAAAUCCCUUUUUUUUGACGACCAUUGAAGCGCAGCAAAGAUGGGAGGAGAAUCGCGUCCCACCGGGCGUGCCAUUUUGUUUGGUCGAAAACCGGGCGAAGACAUAGAAAAAUAAUGUAAUGCAAGGGAGACACAUGCACACAUAUUCGAGAACCACAUAUUUCAUUCUUUCUUUCUUGAAUAUACAAAAUACAUGAUCAACGAAAAAAUGUCUUCUUCCGUCUUCAGCGUCAUGCUUAAGGAGAGGUCUGACUUGUAGAGAAAUUGCGUAGUUCGCCGAUUCCCGGGGCCUAUUGGGCGCGUCCGGUUAAUUACAUCCGCAAGACGAGCUUGUGGAAAACCUCCGAUUAAGCGGCGCUUUAUGGUCGUCAAAUAUAUUGGUCACCGUCAUAGCCAUAUGCGAUAUACGGCAUAUGGUGGCUUUAUGUCGCCGAAACUCGGUCGUGACAUCGCCAUCGCCACGUCGGAGUAAUAAACGGAAUAUGUUAAUAAAGGGGUGACUUUGGCCUCGUCGGUGCCCAGUCAUGUACGCCAGCCUUCAUUAACACGGACAUGUGUGAGUUGCUUUUGCCUCGUCGGUGCCUAGCAACGAUCUUGUCCGAUCCUGUCAAUUGGAACGUGUAGAUGGAUUAGUGACCUCGCCUCAUCGGUACUCGGCCAGAGUUCCGUCUAGCCUCGUCGGUACUAGACGUAAAUAGUAGAAUUCCGCCAAAAAUCAAUUAGCGGCAAAGUAUUGCUUGAACGAUGCCUUCUCAUCACAAGAUCAAAUCGACAGCCUCCCGGCAUCAAUAUUUUAUAACGAAACGAGGUAUUCUCAUCUCGUGUCUUGACUUUUCAUUAUCGCCACAAGCGGAAGUUUUCCGUCUUGCAUGCCUGUAACGAGUCGGGCGUUCCCGUCACGUGCGUCUUGUCUCUCCUUUUUUAUACAGCUUAAAUUUGUCAUCAGCAACUUGAUAAACGACCUCGCGCGGCGAGGGUUCUGACGUCGUCAAGUUGCUGGCCUUCUCACGAUAGUAGAUCAAAAUAUCAAACGACUUUCGUCGUACACUCUCCGCCGUCGCCAUGAGAAUAAUAGAGCCAAUAACUAGCUCCGAGUAUGUGCGUCUCAUAGUAAAUUAGCAGCCAACAUGGAUGUAUAUAUGAUGCAGCUGACGGAACCAGCGAGUUGCUCGCUUCUCGAUGACUUGAUGCCGGCGUUGCUUCAGCGUAGACGUGCAGGAACAGGAGGUUUGCUUAUAAGCAUGCGGCUCUGGCCUGCAAAGAUCUUGGCAGGAACUGGUGUUGAUGCGUGGCGUCGAACAAAUAACAGGAGCCACCAUUGAAAUCGCCCCUUUCCCGAGCAGCAAGGCAUCGACGUAUACAAGCGCAUGCGGAGCGCAUCUUGAUUUUUAUAUGACUUGGCUUCAUCAUCAGCAACUUGACAACGACCUCGCGCGGUGAGGGUUCGAGGGUUCUGAUGUCAUCAAGUUGUUGGCCUACUCACAAUAAUUGAUCAAAAGAACAAACGACUCCCCACAUAAUAUAAUAUUCAUAUGAAUCUAUUAGCAACCCAGAUUAAUUGCUCACCCAGAAACGUAGUAACUGGCAUGGAUGACAUGGUUGAACGUUGAAUGUCACAGCAGGGACCGGUGACUUGCUGGUGCAGGCUUGCUUGUCGGCUACUCGCUGCUUGCAAGCGAUGGCUUCGACUUGUGGAGGAUGUGCUGUAGCUUUUAGCCUCAACAGAUGCGUUUACCCAGGUUUGCAAAGUGGCCAGCAGCGUGUAUGCGUAUGCGUCGAGCAGCUUCGCAGAGGUCCGGCGGCGGCGGCGUAUAUGCGUGGGCAAGGGAAUUUGGCGGAGGCCUGGCGGCG
rnacentral:lncRNA from 1 species